rnacentral:rRNA from 1 species
GACGAACGCUGGCGGCGUGCUUAACACAUGCAAGUCGAGCGGUAAGGCCCUUUCGGGGGUACACGAGCGGCGAACGGGUGAGUAACACGUGGGUGACCUGCCCUUAGCUCUGGGAUAAGCCUGGGAAACUGGGUCUAAUACCGGAUAUGACUCCAUAACGCAUGUUGUGGGGUGGAAAGCCUUGUGCGGCUAGGGAUGGGCCCGCGGCCUAUCAGCUUGUU